UACGUAGGGGGCUAGCGUUGUCCGGAAUCAUUGGGCGUAAAGAGCGUGUAGGCGGCCCGGUAAGUCCGCUGUGAAAGUCGGGGGCUCAACCCUCGAAUGCCGGUGGAUACUGUCGGGCUAGAGUCCGGAAGAGGAGAGUGGAAUUCCUGGUGUAGCGGUGAAAUGCGCAGAUAUCAGGAAGAACACCAAUGGCGAAGGCAGCUCUCUGGGACGGUACUGACGCUGAGACGCGAAAGCGUGGGGAGCGAACAGG
rnacentral:rRNA from 1 species